rnacentral:rRNA from 1 species
UACAUGAAGCUGGAAUCGCUAGUAAUCGCGAAUCAGAAUGUCGCGGUGAAUACGUUCCCGGGUCUUGUACACACCGCCCGUCACACCAUGGGAGUCGGAUAUGCCCGAAGCCGGUGACCUAACCGCAAGGAAGGAGCCGUCGAAGGUGGAGCCGAUGACUGGGGUGAAGUCGUAACAAGGUAUC